rnacentral:ribozyme from 1 species
AUAAAAUCAAAAUCUCAUAAAAAAAUGACUGCGAUUUCUUGUCUUUGUAUUUUUAGUCUUAUUUUUACUGUAUUUCUAUCUUCCAAUGU